rnacentral:lncRNA from 10 species
CCAGAGAAUGCCUACCUGCAAAUAUCCAUAGGUGCUGGCAACUGGAAGUCUGGCUGCGUGCACUGAAAUGGCAAAGAUAGGGGUGCUGCGGCCAGGUACUGGUGGUGUCUGCUACCCCACCUUGAGCCUAUAGUCUUCAUUUCUUGUGGACACUAUCCACAGGCCAAGAUAAUGCAGAAAGAUGAGAAAAUCAAGGAGUCAGCGUCUGCCCAAAGUGAAGGUAAGAGGAUGGCUUGGAAUUCACAGCUGGCAACUGAAGCUGUUGAAAGACAUCACCUUAAUGUUGCUCUCCAGGGCUUGCAGCCCUCUUAGGACAGGUGCUGUCUGCAGGGCGGCCUUGCGGUGACAGUGGUCGCCCCGCUGAAUCCCCAAUGCUGUCUUAUAUUGCCA